rnacentral:rRNA from 1 species
UGGGGAAUUUUGCACAAUGGGGGAAACCCUGAUGCAGCGACGCCGCGUGAUUUAGAAGGCCUUCGGGUUGUAAAAAUCUUUUUUAUGGGAUGAAAAUGACAGUACCAUAAGAAUAAGGUCCGGCUAAAUACGUGCCAGCAGCCGCGGUAAUACGUAUGGACCGAGCGUUGUCCGGAAUCAUUGGGCGUAAAGGGUACGUAGGCGGCCCAGUAAGUUAGAAGUGAAAUAAUAUAGCUCAACUACAGUAAGCUUUUAAAACUGCUCAUCUUGAGAUAUGGAAGGGAAAGUGGAAUUCCUAGUGUAGCGGUGAAAUGCGCAGAUAUUAGGAGGAAUACCGGUGGCGAAGGCGACUUUCUGGCCAUAAUCUGACGCUGAGGUACGAAAGCGUGGGUAGCAAACAGG